GUCUACAACCAUACCAUGCUGAACAUGCCUGAUCUUGUCUGAUUUUGGAAGCUAAGCCCAUCAGUUCUCAGGUGAGAGAGGCGAGUGAGCUUUGUAGUUU
ensembl:rRNA 5S_rRNA 5S ribosomal RNA